ACGGAAGGCAGCAGUGAGGAAUAUUGGUCAAUGGACGCAAGUCUGAACCAGCCAUGCCGCGUGCAGGAAUAAGGCCCUAUGGGUCGUAAACUGCUUUUGUGGUGGAGCAAUAAGUCGUACGUGUACGGCGAUGAGAGUACAUCACGAAUAAGCAUCGGCUAACUCCGUGCCAGCAGCUGCGGUAAUACGGAGGAUGCAAGCGUUAUCCGGAUUUAUUGGGUUUAAAGGGUGCGUAGGCUGUGGUCCAAGUCAGGGGUGAAAGCCCGGAGCUCAACUCCGGAACUGCCUUUGAUACUGGAUUGCUGGAAUACGGAUGCCGUGGGAGGAAUGAGUAGUGUAGCGGUGAAAUGCAUAGAUAUUACUCAGAACACCGAUUGCGAAGGCAUCUCACGAAUCCGUCAUUGACGCUGAGGCACGAAAGCGUGGGGAUCAAACAGGAUUAGAUACCCUGGUA
rnacentral:rRNA from 1 species